CCUACGGGAGGCAGCAGUGGGGGAUAUUGCACAAUGGGGGAAACCCUGAUGCAGCGACGCCGCGUGUGGGAAGACGGUCCUCUGGAUUGUAAACCACUGUCCCCAGGGACGAAGAUGACGGUACCUGGGGAGGAAGCUCCGGCUAACUACGUGCCAGCAGCCGCGGUAAUACUUAGGGAGCAAGCGUUGUCCGGAAUUACUGGGUUAAAAGGGAGCGUAGGCGGGAUGGCAAGUUGGGUGUUAAAUCUACCGGCUAAACGGGUAGUCGCACUUAAAACUGGCAUUCUUGAGUGAAGUAGAGGCAGGCGGAAUUCCUGGUGUAGCGGUGAAAUGCGUAGAUAUUAGGAGGAACACCAGUGGCGAAGGCGGCCUGCUAAGCUUUUACUGACGCUGAGGCUCGAAAGUGUGGGGAGCAAACAGGAUUAGAUACCCUUGUAGUC
rnacentral:rRNA from 1 species